rnacentral:rRNA from 1 species
UACGUAGGGUGCGAGCGUUGUCCGGAUUUAUUGGGCGUAAAGGGCUCGUAGGCGGCGUGUCGCGUCGGGGAGUGAAAGCCCGUUGCUUAACGGCGGGUUGGCUUUCGGUACGGGCAUGCUGGAGUGCGGCAGGGGAGACUGGAAUUCCUGGUGUAGCGGUGAAAUGCGCAGAUAUCAGGAGGAACACCGGUGGCGAAGGCGGGGUCUCUGGGCCGGUAACUGACGCUGGAGGAGCGAAAGCGUGGGGAGCGAACAGG